rnacentral:rRNA from 1 species
UUUAUAUUGAGAGUUUGAUCCUGGCUCAGGACGAACGCUGGCGGCGUGCUUAACACAUGCAAGUCGAGCGAGAUGAACUCCUUCGGGAGGGACUCUAGCGGCGGACGGGUGAGUAACACGUGGGUAACCUGCCUCAUAGAGGGGAAUAGCCUUUCGAAAGGAAGAUUAAUAC